GCUGGUUUGGCUCAGUGGCUAGAGCGUCAGCCUGUGGACUGAAGCAUCCUGGGUUAGAUUCCCGUAAAAGGCA
rnacentral:tRNA from 1 species